rnacentral:rRNA from 1 species
GCGGGAUUAGAGUUUGAUCAUGGCUCAGAUUGAACGCUGGCGGCAGGCCUAACACAUGCAAGUCGAGCGGUAACAGAAAAGAAGCUUGCUUCUUUUGCUGACGAGCGGCGGACGGGUGAGUAAUGCCUGGGAAUAUACCCUGAUGUGGGGGAUAACUAUUGGAAACGAUAGCUAAUACCGCAUAAUCUCUUCGGAGCAAAGAGGGGGACCUUCGGGCCUCUCGCGUCAGGAUUAGCCCAGGUGGGAUUAGCUAGUUGGUGGGGUAAUGGCUCACCAAGGCGACGAUCCCUAGCUGGUCUGAGAGGAUGAUCAGCCACACUGGAACUGAGACACGGUCCAGACUCCUACGGGAGGCAGCAGUGGGGAAUAUUGCACAAUGGGCGAAAGCCUGAUGCAGCCAUGCCGCGUGUAUGAAGAAGGCCUUCGGGUUGUAAAGCACUUUCAGUUGUGAGGAAGGGGGUAACGUUAAUAGUGCUAUCUCUUGACGUUAGCAACAGAAGAAGCACCGGCUAACUCCGUGCCAGCAGCCGCGGUAAUACGGAGGGUGCGAGCGUUAAUCGGAAUUACUGGGCGUAAAGCGCAUGCAGGUGGUUCAUUAAGUCAGAUGUGAAAGCCCGGGGCUCAACCUCGGAACUGCAUUUGAAACUGGUGAACUAGAGUGCUGUAGAGGGGGGUAGAAUUUCA